CGAGGGUGCGUUGUUGGUGACUUGGCAUCGAGCGUUUGGACCACAAGGCGAUGGCUGACAAGGAUUUAUCGGGGUAUCUGGCUCUUUUACUAAAAGAAAAUACCAAUCUUAGCAGGGCCUUUUUUCUUCGGUACAAAAAUAUCUAAUUUCAAAUUUGCAAAAUUCCAAAUUUUCAUGAAAAAUCCGGAACAGAGAUGUAUUUUGAACGAGAAAUCUUUGGAGUGAUAAAUGAGCCUUACUUUGUGGGACACACUGAAUAAAUGGAUCUCCGGUAUACUGCUCGAAGCAGCUACAAACAGGAUUAUGAUUGAUCACGGAACACUGAGCAGACAAUCCACAAGCACCGAGACAAGGAAUGGUGGCGAUCCUUUGAAUCCAGUAACGCAGCUGCAGACAGCUUGACCGUUGGAAGGACGACAGUGGCUGUUCGAACCGCAGGGUGAUGGGUUGCAUAGAUCGACUGCGGUGGUUUCUGUCAUACCAUAAAUUCCAAAAUAUUAAUAAUAAGCGUGUUUCAACUGCUGCUGGGCAAUCUGAGUUUCUCUCAGAUUACAAAGGAAAAAAGUAUAAAAAACUACGUAUCAUACACGAUGGAAGUGAAAAUAAUUUCAGGGAAGAAUGGAACGAAAGAUGAGUCAGGGGACCAACCUUGAAUAGGAU